CCUAAUACAUGCAAGUCGCCGCUUCUUUUUCACCGAACUUCGGUUCAUCGAAAAAAGAAGGAGUGGGCGAAACGGUGAGUAACACGUGGGUAACCUGGCCCAUCAGAAAGGGGGAUAACACUUGGAAACAGGUGCUAAUAGCCGUAUAAUGCUUUUUCUCGCAUGAGAGCAAGGCUGAAAGGCGCUUUGCGUCACUGAUGGAUGGACCCGCGGCGCAUUAGCUAGUUGUGAGGUAACGGCUCACCAAGCCAUCGAUCAUAGCCGACCUGAGAGGGGUGAUCGGCCACACUGGGACUGAGGACCUCUGCCCCAGACUCCCUACCGGGAGGGCAGGCAGUAGGGGAAAUCUUUCGGCAAUGGA
rnacentral:rRNA from 1 species